AUUGAACGCUGGCGGCAGGCCUAACACAUGCAAGUCGAGCGGAGCGGCGGACGGGUGAGUAAUGCCUAGGAAUCUGCCUGGUAGUGGGGGAUAACGUCCGGAAACGGGCGCUAAUACCGCAUCCUCUCAGAUGAGCAUAGGUCGGAUUAGCUAGUUGGUGGGGUAAUGGCCUACCAAGUCGACGAUCCGUAACUGGUCUGAGAGGAUGAUCAGUAACACUGGAACGGAGACACGGUCCAGAAUCCUACGGGAGGCAGCAGUGGGGAAUAUUGGACAAGGGGCGAAAGCCUGAUCCAGCCAUGCCGCGUGUGUGAAGAAGGUCUUCGGAUUGUAAAGCACUUUAAGUUGGGAGGCGGUACCAACAGAAUAAGCACCGGCUAACUUCGUGCCAGCAGCCGCGGUAAUUC
rnacentral:rRNA from 1 species